AUGGCCCUUAUGGGUAGGGCUUCACACGUCAUACAAUGGUCGGUACAGAGGGUUGCCAAGCCGCGAGGUGGAGCCAAUCCCUUAAAGCCGAUCGUAGUCCGGAUCGUAGUCUGCAACUCGACUACGUGAAGUCGGAAUCGCUAGUAAUCGCAGAUCAGCAUGCUGCGGUGAAUACCGGUUCCCGGGUCUU
rnacentral:rRNA from 1 species